rnacentral:rRNA from 1 species
GGGAAACUUACCAGGUCCAGACAUAGUAAGGAUUGACCGACUGAUAGCUCUUUCGAGGUUCUAUGGGUGGUGGCGCAUGGCCGUUCUUAGUUGGUGGAGUGAUUUGUCUGGUUAAUUCCGUUAACGAACGAGACCUUAGCCUGCUAAAUAGGAUCCCCAACUUUCUAGUUGACGGAGGCCUUCUUAGAGGCACGUCGCCUGACUAACGCGAGGAAGUGUGAGGCAAUAA